UUAACACGUUCGUCACACAGCGUGAUUCGGCUAAGUUUCCUGUGGGACCCAAAUCCGACUGCCGCUACGCAGAACGUAAAUAGAGCGACAAGCGGGAAUUCAUUGUUUAUCGCCUUCGAUUCAUUUUUUAAGACACGAUCU